UGGGGAAUUUUGGACAAUGGGGGAAACCCUGAUCCAGCCAUCCCGGGUGUGCGAUGAAGGCCUUCGGGUUGUAAAGCACUUUUGGCAGGAAAGAAACGUCAUGGGUUAAUACCCCGUGAAACUGACGGUACCUGCAGAAUAAGCACCGGCUAACUACGUGCCAGCAGCCGCGGUAAUACGUAGGGUGCAAGCGUUAAUCGGAAUUACUGGGCGUAAAGCGUGCGCAGGCGGUUCGGAAAGAAAGAUGUGAAAUCCCAGAGCUCAACUUUGGAACUGCAUUUUUAACUACCGGGCUAGAGUGUGUCAGAGGGAGGUGGAAUUCCGCGUGUAGCAGUGAAAUGCGUAGAUAUGGGAGGAACACCGAUGGCGAAGGCAGCCUCCUGGGAUAACACUGACGCUCAUGCACGAAAGCGUGGGGAGCAAACAGG
rnacentral:rRNA from 1 species